rnacentral:rRNA from 1 species
CACGACUACAUUAGAUACCCCUGUAGUCCCAGCGUAAACUAUGCGCGUUAGGUGUACUGGUGACCACGAGUCACCGGGGUGCCGAAGGGAAACCGUGAAACGUGCCGCCUGGGAAGUACGGUCGCAAGGCUGAAACUUAAAGGAAUUGGCGGGGAGCACCACAACGGGUGGAGCCUGCGGUUUAAUUGGACUCAACGCCGGAAAUCUCACCGGAUAGGACAGACAUAUGAUAGUCGGGCUGAAGACUCUACUUGAUGAUCUG